rnacentral:rRNA from 1 species
UACGUAGGGUGCGAGCGUUAAUCGGAAUUAUUGGGCGUAAAGUGCGCGUAGGCGGCCGCGCAAGUCGAGUGUGAAAGCCCCGGGCUUAACUUGGGAAUUGCGCUCGAAACUACGUGGCUAGAGUGUGGCAGAGGGAGGUGGAAUUCCUCGUGUAGCGGUGAAAUGCGUAGAGAUGUGGAGGAACACCGAUGGCGAAGGCAGCCUCCUGGGACAACACUGACGCUCAUGCACGAAAGCGUGGGGAGCAAACAGG